CACACAUCAAACGGGCUUUUGGUCGACACAGUUGUGAAUAAUGAAGAAAUUGUGAAACUCCAUCAUGACCUCACAUCUGGUGCAGUGAAAUCACAAAGAAUGUUUUUACACAAGCAUCCGAAUUAUGCACCCACACUGAAAAAUCUGUGCAAACUACGUAUCUCAGUGUUUGACGAAGAACAGGUACAAUAACAUACCAC
rnacentral:lncRNA from 1 species